UCUAGAAGCUUCGGCAAUGGGGGAAACCCUGACCGAGCGACGCCGCGUGCAGGACGAAGGUCUUCGGAUCGUAAACUGCUUUCGCUGGGGGAGAAAUGUCCUCGGGGUGAAUAAUCCCGGGGUUAGACGGUACCCAGUAAAGAAGCUCCGGCUAAGUCCGUGCCAGCAGCCGCGGUAAUACGGGCGGAGCGAGCGUUGUUCGGAUUCAUUGGGUGUAAAGGGUGCGAAGGCGGUCGUCUAAGUCGGAGGUGAAAUGUCUACGGCUCAACCGAGGCAUUGCCUCCGAUACUGGACGACUUGAGUGCGGAAGGGGAGCGUGGAAUUCCUGGUGUAGCGGUGAAAUGCGUAGAUAUCAGGAGGAACACCGGUGGCGAAGGCGACGCUCUGGUCCGCAACGUG
rnacentral:rRNA from 1 species